rnacentral:rRNA from 1 species
CCUACGGGAGGCAGCAGUGAGGAAUAUUUGUCAAUGGACGAGAGUCUGAACCAGCCAAGUAGCGUGAAGGAUGACUGCCCUAUGGGUUGUAAACUUCUUUUAUAUGGGAAUAAAAUGUUCCACGUGUGGGAUUUUGUAUGUACCAUAUGAAUAAGGAACGGCUAACUCCGUGCCAGCAGCCGUGGUAAUACGGAGGAUUCGAGCGUUAUCCGGAUUUAUUGGGGUUAAAGGGAGCGUAGGUGGAUUGUUAAGUCAGUUGUGAAAGUUUGCGGCUCAACCGUAGAAUUGCAGUUGAAACUGGCAGUCUUGAGUACAGUAGAGGUGGGCGGAAUUCGUGGUGUAGCGGUGAAAUGCUUAGAUAUCACGAAGAACUCCGAUUGCGAAGGCAGUUCACUGGACUGCAACUGACACUGAGGCUCGAAAGUGUGGGUAUCAAACAGGAGUAGAUACCCGGGUAGUC